ACGGGGGCCCGCACAAGCAGCGGAGCGUGUGGUUUAAUUCGAUGCAACACGAAGAACCUUACCAGGGCUUGACAUGCCGCUGACCGGUUUAGAGAUAGAUCUUUACCCUUCGGGGUACAGCGGACACAGGCGGUGCAUGGUUGUCGUCAGCUCGUGUCGUGAGAUGUUGGUUAAGUCCCGCAACGAGCGCAACCCCUAUCUUUAAUUGCCAUCAUUCAGUUGGGCACUUUAGAGAGACUGCCGGUGUUAAGCCGGAGGAAGGUGGGGAUGACGUCAAAUCAUCAUGCCCCUUAUGACCUGGGCUACACACGUGCUACAAUGGUUGGUACAACGAGUUGCGAGUCGGUGACGGCGAGCUAAUCUCUUAAAGCCAAUCUCAGUUCGGAUUGUAGGCUGCAACUCGCCUACAUGAAGUCGGAAUCGCUAGUAAUCGCGGAUCAGCACGCCGCGGUGAAUACGUUCCCGGGCCUU
rnacentral:rRNA from 1 species